GCCUAGGAAUCUGCCUGGUAGUGGGGAGUAACGUUCGGAAACGGACGCUAAUACCGCAUACGUCCUACGGGAGAAAGUGGGGGAGUCUUCGGACCUCACGCUAUCAGAUGAGCCUAGGUCGGAUUAGCUUGUUGGUGAGGUAAUGGCUCACCAAGGCGACGAUCCGUAACUGGUCUGAGAGGAUGAUCAGUCACACUGGAACUGAGACACGGUCCAGACUCCUACGGGAGGCAGCAGUGGGGAAUAUUGGACAAUGGGCGCAAGCCUGAUCCAGCCAUGCCGCGUGUGUGAAGAAGGUCU
rnacentral:rRNA from 1 species